rnacentral:misc_RNA from 1 species
GAGACGCAGCGUCUUCCAAAACGAUGCGUCUUCCCUGCAGCCUGCAGCCGAGAGCAGUCGAGAGUUUUCUCUGUUCCGAAGUGGAACGUAGGUGAAGAUCAUCGGAGCAGAUAGAUUGUGAAUAACGCCGCCAAGGAGCUGCGCUGCGCAUCCUCGUAAAAGACAAUAUAAACAAAAGAAUUAGUAAAAAAAUUUCUCCGUCCGAGUCCGCGAGGUAGGAAUAAAAACUACUAAAUUCUAAUGCGGUUCGUUUGUCCGAAUCGAGCGCAGCCAGACUUUUAAUUCACCUGCGUUAUAUGUAUUAUACGUACAUAUACCGCAUCCUAUAAGCGGGGUGAGUUUUUGUCUGUCCUCGAUUUCGACUCGCGGACAGGAUGAAAGUUUGACAGUUUAAUUCCCCCUCCCUCCCUCCCUCUCUCCCUAUUCCUUCCGUUGUCCCUGCUCGACGCAGAGCUCGCGGAGACUUGUGUCCCAAUCCUCUCGUCUACGAUACCGUCGAAUCUAUUUCAGUAUCCGUAAAUCGGCCUGUCCGCACCCCGAAUAUACAAUGCACGGAAUCGUCGAGACGUUGGGGAGCGUCCAACCCUCCGAUUAAUUCGAGGUUAUGUUCACGCUACGGACAAAAUCGCUAGAAGCAGAUCAGACCGAAAGAUCGAGUCGCUUUGAACCGUUGGGAAGGAAGAGGUUGUAAAAAUAUUCCUAUUUCUGUAACCCUUCUAACGACGACGCGACGACAACGACGACGUCGCGUUAACCCGAAGCACUUCUUAUCUCAUGAACGUUUAAUGCAUAAGCUGCAGAAAUGAUGGUGCAGCAAGGAGAGGGUGGCUCGGCGGCAAAAUCACGUCGCAAUGGAGCUAGGCUUUUUAAGAAUCCGCCGCAGCCUCACAUGUGCAUACAGGACUAUAUACAGGGAUCGUGGGAUCCGUGUUACGUAAACGUACUGUCGUGGGGUAAAAUCGCCAUGCCGCAUCGUCCCUCGGAACCUGUCCCUCUUUGGGGAGGUAUGAGGGUCUUACCGCCGAGAACCGAAAAGCCACAAUGUUCUGUUUUCGCUGUUAUGGCUAAUCCGGAGAUACUUCGACUCAAUGGAAAAAAUGCUCAAGAUCCACAGGAGCGUUCGGCAUUGAUUGAUCUCUUGCUAGAUUUUGUAGAGGCGAUGAACGAGGGAGUGGUGUUCACGCGAUGCUACACAGUCCUAAAAGACCGUGACAUAACAGGCGAGCUGAAGGAAGUGUGGAUGGCGGUGCAAGUGAAGCGAGACAAGGAGCAGGAGACACAGCAGGAAACAUGGAUAGAUGUACAACCACCAGCGCCGCAGUACCCGCAGUUUGAGAUGAGUCAGGAUUACUCAUACCAAUCGGUAAAUGACCAGCAGGUUUAUCAGCCAGGUCACGUAGUGCCGCAACAGUAUCACGGAAACGUUGGGGUGCAGAUCUCGCCACAGGAUCAGUACAACUACGGAGAUCGCGGCGGGGUGAGACAGCAAAAUCAAGGACAGCAGAAUUGCCCAGCAUAUCCGAUGCCCCAAUAUCAAUUUCAACAGCUCCCAAGGCAGCUGGUUCCCCAGUACAUAAACUCUAACAUGCAUCCUAGCGUCAGCCCGAGCUAUCCUGGGCCAAACGUUGUUGGUUCGAACGUGAAUCCGAAUAUCCCUGGUUAUUAUCAGCAGUACAUCGCGCUCCAACAGCAAAUGGUUGGCCAAAGGCAGAUCGAGAACGUCAUGCACGCUGUUCGAGAGACCCACAGCGAUAUGCAACAGCCGCCGGCGAUGCACGUUCCUCAUAUACAGUUCGAGCAGCCUCCGCCUUUCAACUUGCAGACGACUUCGCAGAUGAACGUUUUGAGGCUGGGUAGACCGCACAUGGGCGUGACACAGAAGAGCAACGCAAAUAAGAGACAAUCGAGCUCGCCUACCCACUCGAAUCAAACUGCAAACUCUACUAUCGUUCGUCAGCCUAAAAACAGCGUGGAAAAAAGUCCUAGCAAAGCGUUCAGGGUUAGGGCUCAGCGCGGCGACCAGGCGGGAACAGAAAAACAAAAUGCUGGUCAAGUCUCGCCUGAAAAGAUAAAGCUAGUGGUGACGGCAGAGAAGAACAACGUCAAAGAUUGCGAUGAUCAAAGUGUUCAAGUUACCGAUCUGGACGAAGAACUCGACGCCAAGAAGAACAAGGCUAAGGAUUUGAAAGUAUCGGUCGCGGAGGAAACUCUGAGUGCGCAGAAGACAGCAAAACAGCAGGCUAUCGCUACUAAAAAAGACCUGAGGCAGUGGAUUCUCAACUCUUCAGACGAUAUAACCGUCCUUGAGACCGACCUGCCGCUCGAAGGUACUGAGGACGGUACUGUGAAUCAGAACUUGAACACCAAACCAGUAAAGACGCAGAUAUUAGUUUUGAAAAGAAAUUCAUCCAAGGUUAACAACAGCGAUUCUGGCAAGAGUAGCUCGAAAGAUCAGAAGGUAGUCAAGAACGCCAUAAGAUUAACUAAACUCGAGGGACAACAGAUAUACGAUUUAGAAAGUGAGAGGAUAGACGAUAGCAAUAAAGAGAAAGGAGACGAGCUGGUGAAUCAAGCUCCGUCUGAAACUGCGGAAAAGAAACCUGUCGACAAUGGAAAUAGCAGGAAUGGAUUUUCGCAGCACAAACAGCAUAAGGAACAACAACAACAGCAACGACCCAAGCGGUCGCAAACGGUUAAUAACUUAAUAAAAAACGUAUUCAAAAUAAAUCCAAGUACGUCAUCAAAUGACGAUAACCAUAAAGACAAGGUGAAUAAUCAUACAAAAGUUAUAAACUGUAAAUCUAACAACAAGGGUACCGACGACGUAUAUCACGGUUACGUGAUACUGAGAAAGGGGGAAACUAGCCAGCAUAAUGAUGAGGACGUGGUGAGAGAAAUGGCUCGGAUAUCAAUUCAAGACUGCAAAGAUACGACGACUGAGAACAGCAAUACUGUUAACUCGUGAUAGCCUGGCUAGAAGAAAGACAAGUUUAAGAUAUUUGAAGAUGUACGGAAGGCCAGGUUUCACAUCUGUUGAUCAAGAAUGGAUGCAAGUUUUUAUUAUCACUUUUUGCAAAUUUGAAUACUGGAAUGUGUAAUUGAACAAAAAGGAAAUAGUGAAAAACGGUAAUAGACAGUUAUGCGGACAUUGAUACCAAGGGUUUAAAAUUUCUUUGAAAGAGCAAAAAAAAAAAAAAAAACGAAACUAAUACGGAAAGAAAUAUAAUUACCUAACGAAAUAUUUUCUGUGUCUUUCUCCAAAGCG